GACCCCGCGGAAUCGCAUGGUUCUGCGGGCAAAGUUCAGGCGGUCCAGGAGCGGUCCAUGUCCUAUCAGCUUGUUGGUGAGGUAACGGCUCACCAAGGCAUCGACGGGUACCGGGUGUGAGAGCAUGACCCGGCACAUCGGAACUGAGACACUGUCCGGACACCUACGGGUGGCUGCAGCAACGAAUAUUCCGCAAUGGGCGCAAGCCUGACGGAGCAACGCCGCGUGCAGGAUGAAGUCUUUCGGGAUGUAAACUGCUGUCAGGGGUGAGAAAGAUCUGAUCAGCCCCAAAGGAAGCCUCGGCUAACUCCGUGCCAGCAGCCGCGGUAAUACGGAGGAGGCAAGCGUUGUUCGGAAUCACUGGGCUUAAAGCGGGUGUAGGCGGAAUGGCAGGUGUCUUGUGAAAGCCCUCGGCUCAACCGAGGAACUGCAGGGCAAACCGUCAUUCUUGAGGCAGGUAGAGGCAAGUGGAACUAUGGGUGGAGCGGUGAAAUGCGUAGAUAUCCAUGGGAACGCCGGUGGCGAAAGCGGCUUGCUGGGCCUGUCCUGACGCUGAGACCCGAAAGCGUGGGUAGCAAACAGGAUUAGAUACCCUGGUAGUCCACGCCGUAAACGAUGCGCACUAGGUACGAGGCCUCUGACGGUUUUCGUGCCGAAGCAAAAGUGUUAAGUGCGCCGCCUGGGGAGUACGGCCGCAAGGCUAAAACUCAAAGGAAUUGACGGGGGCUCACACAAGCGGUGGAGCAUGUGGAUUAAUUCGAAGCAACGCGAAGAACCUUACCUGGGUUGGAAAAGCACGGAUGCCCUCUGUGAAAGCGGAGUAGGCUGCCUUCGGGUGAAACGUGGUUCAGGUGCUGCAUGGCUGUCGUCAGCUCGUGCUGUGAAGUGUCGGGUUAAGUCCCUUAACGAGCGAAACCCUUGUCGCUAGUUGCCAGCGGGUAAUGCCGGGGACUCUAGCGAGACUGCCGGCGUUAAGCCGGAGGAAGGUGGGGAUGACGUCAAGUCCUCAUGGCCUCUAUGCCCAGGGUGUCACACGUGCUACAAUGGCCGUUACAGAGCGACGCGAUACCGCGAGGUGGAGCAAAUCGCAGAAAAACGGCCUAAGUUCGGAUUGGAGUCUGCAACUCGACUCCAUGAAGUUGGAAUCGCUAGUAAUCGCGUAUCAGCCACGACGCGGUGAAUGUGUUCCUGAGCCUUGUA
rnacentral:rRNA from 1 species